AUGGAUGCCUCCGUCGUAUUCUCCGGCGAGACCGCCGAGAAGCGCUCCGGCCCGGCGGAUCACAUGAGCGUCUCCGUCGGCGAGGCCGCCCACACGCUUUCUGGCAAGAAGCGCUCCCGCCCGGCGGAUGACUCCGUCGGCGAGGCCGAGAAGCGCUCCGGCCCCGCGGACGACUCCGUCGGCGAGGCCGCCCACACGCUUUCUGGCAAGAAGCGCUCCCGCCUGGCGGACGACUCCGUCGGCGAGGCCGACCGCAUGCUUUCCAGCCCGCCGGAGCAUCCGCGCGUGACGCGGCUUCGUCACCGGCGCCUCAUCGCGUUCCUCUGGGACCAAGGCUUCCGCGACUCCUACAACGAGUUGACGAACAAGACGCGCGCGCACAUGAGCUUGUGGCACCUGGGCGGCCUCGUCCAGCGGGGCCAGUGGUUGGAUGCCGUGGAAUACCUAGACAGGUACCUGCCGCCGCCCACCAGUCCCAUGAGCUUCCGCGCCCAGGUCCUCCGUCAAUUCCUCCUGAUGCACUACCGCUUCGCCAACGCCGUCGACGGCAUCGUCGAUAAGUCCGUGCCCAGGAACUACCUCCAACUUGACAACGGCAGAGACAUCAGCCACGCCGAUCUGAGGCUCCGCUCCAUCUCCUUGUCCAUAAUACUCGCCGUCGACGAAGUCAGGGCCAACAUGGACUGGGAGACAGUGCGGCGCAAGGCAUCGCUCGCUGUCUCCAGGUUGGCUGGUUCUACUCCAGAGCUGCGAGGCUGCAUCGCGCUGCCGGCCACCAGCAACAAGCUGCACCAUGUACUCCCAAUUGCUUCCGGUUUAUGGAGCCGGAGGCGCUACGUGAAGAAGAAACAAAAAGGACGACCAGAAGCUAUCGCCAGGGCCUUGAAGAGAUUCCUUGCUUUUUGCAGCCAGCAACUUAUGGUUCCAAGCAUUGGGUCGCUUGAGGAAGCAAAGGAAUUGCUGGCGGAUCUCCUUGAUGAAACUGUAAGACCUGGCGUACAAUUGAACACCUAUGGUUUCAGCUGUUCACUUAAGCUGGGUAGGAAUGAAGGUGCUCAAUUCGGCCAACCCAUGUUUGGUACUUCCACAGAAGUUAAAACCUCCGGGACAUUGGCAAAUGCAGGCACAAAUCAGCACGUGGUUGAAGAAUGUUGGGAUUUGGCUGGGAGAAGAAGGAAUUCAAAGCGGGAUCCGGCAGCUGUUGAGCAAUUGCUGCAUCAAUUCAAACUGCACCAGUUAGCUGGGACAUCUCUUGCAAGACCGGUUGUGUCGGGGCCUGGUGCUGUGGUGAACUUGGGCGCCAAGCCGAGUGGUGUGUCUUCAGGAUGA
rnacentral:rRNA from 1 species